AUUGAACGCUGGCGGCAGGCCUAACACAUGCAAGUCGAGCGGUAGCACAGGGAGCUUGCUCCUGGGUGACGAGCGGCGGACGGGUGAGUAAUGUCUGGGAAACUGCCUGAUGGAGGGGGAUAACUACUGGAAACGGUAGCUAAUACCGCAUAACGUCGCAAGACCAAAGAGGGGGACCUUCGGGCCUCUUGCCAUCAGAUGUGCCCAGAUGGGAUUAGCUAGUAGGUGGGGUAACGGCUCACCUAGGCGACGAUCCCUAGCUGGUCUGAGAGGAUGACCAGCCACACGGGAACUGAGACACGGUCCAGACUCCUACGGGAGGCAGCAGUGGGGAAUAUUGCACAAUGGGCGCAAGCCUGAUGCAGCCAUGCCGCGUGUAUGAAGAAGGCCUUCGGGUUGUAAAGUACUUUCAGCGGGGAGGAAGGCGAUAAGGUUAAUAACCUUGUCGAUUGACGUUACCCGCAGAAGAAGCACCGGCUAACUCCGUGCCAGCAGCCGCGGUAAGAC
rnacentral:rRNA from 1 species